rnacentral:rRNA from 1 species
UACAGAGGUCUCAAGCGUUGUUCGGAUUCAUUGGGCGUAAAGGGUGCGUAGGCGGCUCUUUAAGUCAGCGGUGAAAGUCCAGAGCUUAACUCUGGGAUUGCCAUUGAUACUGAAGAGCUUGAGUAUAGUUGAGGUAGGCGGAAUUGACAGUGUAGCGGUGAAAUGCAUAGAUAUUGUCAAGAACACCGAUUGCGUAGGCAGCUUACUAAGCUAUAACUGACGCUGAGGCACGAAAGUGUGGGGAUCAAACAGG